rnacentral:rRNA from 1 species
AGCGUACACGGUGGAUGCCCUGGCAGUCAGAGGCGAUGAAGGACGUGCUAAUCUGCGAUAAGCGUCGGUAAGGUGAUAUGAACCGUUAUAACCGGCGAUUUCCGAAUGGGGAAACCCAGUGUGAUUCGUCACACUAUCAUUAACUGAAUCCAUAGGUUAAUGAGGCGAACCGGGGGAACUGAAACAUCUAAGUACCCCGAGGAAAAGAAAUCAACCGAGAUUCCCCCAGUAGCGGCGAGCGAACGGGGAGGAGCCCAGAGCCUGAAUCAGUGUGUGUGUUAGUGGAAGCGUCUGGAAAGGCGCGCGAUACAGGGUGACAGCCCCGUACACAAAAAUGCACAUGCUGUGAGCUCGAUGAGUAGGGCGGGACACGUGGUAUCCUGUCUGAAUAUGGGGGGACCAUCCUCCAAGGCUAAAUACUCCUGACUGACCGAUAGUGAACCAGUACCGUGAGGGAAAGGCGAAAAGAACCCCGGCGAGGGGAGUGAAAAAGAACCUGAAACCGUGUACGUACAAGCAGUGGGAGCACAGAGCAAUCUGUGUGACUGCGUACCUUUUGUAUAAUGGGUCAGCGACUUAUAUUCUGUAGCAAGGUUAACCGAAUAGGGGAGCCGAAGGGAAACCGAGUCUUAACUGGGCGUUAAGUUGCAGGGUAUAGACCCGAAACCCGGUGAUCUAGCCAUGGGCAGGUUGAAGGUUGGGUAACACUAACUGGAGGACCGAACCGACUAAUGUUGAAAAAUUAGCGGAUGACUUGUGGCUGGGGGUGAAAGGCCAAUCAAACCGGGAGAUAGCUGGUUCUCCCCGAAAGCUAUUUAGGUAGCGCCUCGUGAAUUCAUCUCCGGGGGUAGAGCACUGUUUCGGCAAGGGGGUCAUCCCGACUUACCAACCCGAUGCAAACUGCGAAUACCGGAGAAUGUUAUCACGGGAGACACACGGCGGGUGCUAACGUCCGUCGUGAAGAGGGAAACAACCCAGACCGCCAGCUAAGGUCCCAAAGUCAUGGUUAAGUGGGAAACGAUGUGGGAAGGCCCAGACAGCCAGGAUGUUGGCUUAGAAGCAGCCAUCAUUUAAAGAAAGCGUAAUAGCUCACUGGUCGAGUCGGCCUGCGCGGAAGAUGUAACGGGGCUAAACCAUGCACCGAAGCUGCGGCAGCGACGCUUAUGCGUUGUUGGGUAGGGGAGCGUUCUGUAAGCCUGUGAAGGUGUACUGUGAGGUAUGCUGGAGGUAUCAGAAGUGCGAAUGCUGACAUAAGUAACGAUAAAGCGGGUGAAAAGCCCGCUCGCCGGAAGACCAAGGGUUCCUGUCCAACGUUAAUCGGGGCAGGGUGAGUCGACCCCUAAGGCGAGGCCGAAAGGCGUAGUCGAUGGGAAACAGGUUAAUAUUCCUGUACUUGGUGUUACUGCGAAGGGGGGACGGAGAAGGCUAUGUUGGCCGGGCGACGGUUGUCCCGGUUUAAGCGUGUAGGCUGGUUUUCCAGGCAAAUCCGGAAAAUCAAGGCUGAGGCGUGAUGACGAGGCACUACGGUGCUGAAGCAACAAAUGCCCUGCUUCCAGGAAAAGCCUCUAAGCAUCAGGUAACAUCAAAUCGUACCCCAAACCGACACAGGUGGUCAGGUAGAGAAUACCAAGGCGCUUGAGAGAACUCGGGUGAAGGAACUAGGCAAAAUGGUGCCGUAACUUCGGGAGAAGGCACGCUGAUAUGUAGGUGAAGUCCCUCGCGGAUGGAGCUGAAAUCAGUCGAAGAUACCAGCUGGCUGCAACUGUUUAUUAAAAACACAGCACUGUGCAAACACGAAAGUGGACGUAUACGGUGUGACGCCUGCCCGGUGCCGGAAGGUUAAUUGAUGGGGUCAGCGCAAGCGAAGCUCUUGAUCGAAGCCCCGGUAAACGGCGGCCGUAACUAUAACGGUCCUAAGGUAGCGAAAUUCCUUGUCGGGUAAGUUCCGACCUGCACGAAUGGCGUAAUGAUGGCCAGGCUGUCUCCACCCGAGACUCAGUGAAAUUGAACUCGCUGUGAAGAUGCAGUGUACCCGCGGCAAGACGGAAAGACCCCGUGAACCUUUACUAUAGCUUGACACUGAACAUUGAGCCUUGAUGUGUAGGAUAGGUGGGAGGCUUUGAAGUGUGGACGCCAGUCUGCAUGGAGCCGACCUUGAAAUACCACCCUUUAAUGUUUGAUGUUCUAACGUUGACCCGUGAUCCGGGUUGCGGACAGUGUCUGGUGGGUAGUUUGACUGGGGCGGUCUCCUCCUAAAGAGUAACGGAGGAGCACGAAGGUUGGCUAAUCCUGGUCGGACAUCAGGAGGUUAGUGCAAUGGCAUAAGCCAGCUUGACUGCGAGCGUGACGGCGCGAGCAGGUGCGAAAGCAGGUCAUAGUGAUCCGGUGGUUCUGAAUGGAAGGGCCAUCGCUCAACGGAUAAAAGGUACUCCGGGGAUAACAGGCUGAUACCGCCCAAGAGUUCAUAUCGACGGCGGUGUUUGGCACCUCGAUGUCGGCUCAUCACAUCCUGGGGCUGAAGUAGGUCCCAAGGGUAUGGCUGUUCGCCAUUUAAAGCGGUACGUGAGUUGGGUUAAUAACGUCGUGAGACAGUUAGGUCCCUAUCUACUGUGGGCGUUGGAUAUUUGAGCGAACUUGACCUUAGUACGAGAGGACCGGGUCGAACGAACCUCUGGUGUACCUGUUGUCGCGCCAGCGGCACUGCAGGGUAGCUAUGUUCGGAACAGAUAACCGCUGAAAGCAUCUAAGCGGGAAGCUGGUCGCAAGAUAAGAUAUCCCUAUGAGUUCAGUUCUAGACGAGGACAUUGAUAGGCGGUGGGUGUAAGUCCUGUGAGGGAUUUAGCCGAACCGUACUAAUCGAACCACUGACUUUU